GAGGUGAUAGUAUAUAAGUAUGUGUAGUUUCGGCCUACAGGGUGAACCAUUGUUCUCAUCUCU
rnacentral:tRNA from 1 species